rnacentral:rRNA from 1 species
UACGGAGGGUGCGAGCGUUGUCCGGAAGCACUGGGCGUAAAGGGCGCGUAGGCGGCCCGACAAGCGUGGGGUGAAAGUCCGGGGCUCAACCCCGGAUCGGCCUCGCGAACUGCCGGGCUGGAGCACUGUAGGGGCGGGUGGAAUUCCGGGUGUAGCAGUGAAAUGCGUAGAGAUGCGGAGGAACACCGAUGGCGAAGGCAGCCCCCUGGGCCAACACUGACGCUCAGGCACGAAAGCGUGGGGAGCAAACCGG